CGGCGGAGGACGAACCCACCGUGAACUCGGGCGGCGCCAUUGCGCGAGAGAUGGAAGGACGGAGGAGGGGAGGUCGACGAGCGACUUGAACCCCGCGAGAGGGAGGAACGAGGGGAGGGCCGAGAGCCCGCGCGGAGAAGGCCUGAGACCUCGGGGAGAGGGAGGUAGACAUCGACCGGAGCCCCCACCGCCACACCGGGACACGCGCGCGGGGUUAAUCCCACCGCCAGGGUACCCAC
rnacentral:lncRNA from 1 species